rnacentral:rRNA from 1 species
GAUGAACGCUGGCGGCGUGCCUAAUACAUGCAAGUAGAACGCUGAAGGAAGGAGCUUGCUCUUUCCGGAUGAGUUGCGAACGGGUGAGUAACGCGUAGGUAACCUGCCUGGUAGCGGGGGAUAACUAUUGGAAACGAUAGCUAAUACCGCAUAACAGUAGAUGUUGCAUGAUAUCUACUUAAAAGGUGCAAUUGCACCACUACCAGAUGGACCUGCGUUGUAUUAGCUAGUUGGUGAGGUAACGGCUCACCAAGGCGACGAUACAUAGCCGACCUGAGAGGGUGAUCGGCCACACUGGGACUGAGACACGGCCCAGACUCCUACGGGAGGCAGCAGUAGGGAAUCGUCGGCAAUGGACGGAAGUCUGACCGAGCAACGCCGCGUGAGUGAAGAAGGUUGUCGGAUCGGAAAGCUCUGUUGUAAGAGAAGAACGAGUGUGAGAGUGGAAAGUUCACACUGUGACGGUAUCUUACCAGAAAGGGACGGCUAACUACGUG